ACAGGAAGCAAGGAUCUGCCACUUUGCCUUGAUGUUGCAGUGUCUGGUGGAGACAUCUGGAACCACUGUGGCCAUGUUACUGCCAGGCUGAGGAUGAAAUUAACACUGAGACAGGGAGGAUGGCUGGAAGGAGCCCACUCUGGUGGCAAUGCUCAGUUACCGCAGUGCCAGUCCUGGAGCCUGACCUACCCAUGGGGUUUCUAAUACGAAAGAGAAGCCAGCUCUAUAAUUUCACAAAGUCUCCCCACCUUACUCAUCUCGAGUAGUGACCACCGUGAAUGGUCCCACCGCCAGCCUCUUGGGAGGCAGCCGGGGAAAGCACUCCAUCCUGGGACUUAGGAGCAUGAACUCUGGAGAAACACAGACCUGUGUUCAAAUCCGAGUCCACUGCGUCCUCACAAUGUGAUCUUGGGCCACAUGAGUUUUGCAGAGCAGACGUAGAAAGCAGAGAAUGAAAAAAAGAAAAAGAGGAGAGAUCUGAAGCCAGAAUGGGCGUCAUGCAAGAGGCUCUAGAGUUGCAGACAGUUGCAGCCCAGAUACGACGUGCAAAGAGAGACAUCCCAGAUCUCCCACACAGAACUCCGGCGCGCUUUGAAGUGUUGACAACACAUAAAAUUAAAAGCAUCACAAUGCGAAUUAUCACGUUGUUUUUUCCACUUUGAUAGCCUCUACAAAGCAUUUUAUACCGAUGAAUCAAUACAAAUGUCUCUUUAUAAAGACAUUGGAAACAAAAAGAUACAUUUUUUUUUUUCCUUAAGAGAAACCGACACAACUAACAAAAAGAUUUCAGCCCUGGCUUGCAGGAUAGCUCUAGGUAACAUAGUGAGUUUGUCUCUCCUUUUCACAGUGGCCUUGGAGGUCACUGCUGUCUACUUGCUUGGGUCAAUCAUUCAGCCUCCGGAUGAAUGUUCUGCCUGCUGAUUAGUCAGCACCAUGAGAUGAGACAAACAAGCCACAAUUGCAUUGCUAUUGCCUCCUGACUGCACACACAUGUGUGUGCACAUGUAUAAGAAUAUAUACAGUGUGUGUAAAUAUAUAGAGGCGUGUGUGUGUGUGUGUGUGUAUUUUGUGGUUUGGUAAAAUAAAGCUUGCAAAUUAGGAUUAAUUUAUAACUCGUUAUAAUUGGAUUAUUGGCUGGGACUCCCUUUAUGUUACAGCAGAUGGACUUUUGCGUGAAAUAUUUUCCCUGAGUUGCUAUAGAGAUGUGCCAAGAUCUCUCUGCUGAAGUGAUUCCCCGCAGGCCUGUUUGUUGUUGUGCCCGGUGCCGAAUCACUUGCAGGCUGAAUCACUUACAGCCCUCACAGAGGCUGAUGAAAGAG
rnacentral:lncRNA from 1 species